rnacentral:lncRNA from 10 species
GGGGUGGAAAUACGGAGUCUACAAAUGGACUCUGAGUAACUUAAGUAGAAAAUGGGGCCAGGUGUGGUGGCUCAUGCCUGUAAUCCAAGCACUUUGGGAGGCCAAGUCAGGCAGAUCACUUGAGCCCAGCAGUUUGAGAUCAGUCUGGGAAACAUGAUGAAAACUCUGUCUCUACCCCAAAUACAAAAAUUAGCCAGUCUCAUAACCUGGUCUCAAAAAAGAAAAAAAGAAUAUUCAUUAUGGACAUUCAGAAGGGUUAAACACAUGCAGGAUUUGGUGCCUGAAUGGCAAAGUGAUGAGAGGGAUUAGAGUGCCUCACUUUGUGUUGAUGGGAUUGGCCACUAGAUUGAGGAUAUAUAAGGAAGGGGAGGAGAGGGCGGUAGCUGAUAGCCUGGAGAGAAAAGGAAAGAACCGUCAAAGGAUUGGGAAUGCUAUCUAGGUGGAAAAGUAAUGGAGUAAAGGAAUGAGAUAAUUGGAAGGGUUGGAGAUUUUGUCUGAAACUGUCACAUUGAAGUUUAAGAUUUUAGAAGUGAAGUAGAUCUGGUUUAGGAAAAGCUAGGCGUGAGUCACCACACCCGGCCAAAAAAUAGGUUUAUUUAUAAAGAAAAGAGGUUUAUUUAGCUCGUGGUUCUACUGGCUGAGAAGUUCAAGGGCAUGGUGCUGGCUUCCAGAUAGGGCUUUUAUGCUGCAUGACAACAUAGUGGAGAAGGUAAGGGGAAGUGGACACUUAAAGAGGGCAGAGCCUGAGGGAUGUCUUGGCUUUAUAACAACCUACGCACGUGAGAACUACUUUAUUUUCUGUGAGAACUUACUACUGCAAGAACAAUACCAAGCCAUUUAUGAAGAAUCUGCCCCCAUGACCCAAACACUUCCUACCUACUAGGCGCCACCUCCCAACACUGUCACAUUCGGGAUCAGAUUUCAACAUGAAUUUUGGUGGGGACAAAUAAACCAUAUUGAGACUCUAGCGGGAAAACAUAAUGUCUUUUUUUCUUUUCUUUUUUUGAAUAAUUUUCCUUUUUUGCAGUAUUACACUUUGCUUUAGUACUGCAGUUUAAACACUUUUUAAAUAAGUUGAUCUCUUAUCAAUUACAUGUGUUUUAAAUUCUGCAUAUUGUAUGCUUAGGACA